rnacentral:rRNA from 1 species
AGUGAACGCUGGCGGUAGGCCUAACACAUGCAAGUCGAACGGCAGCACAGUAAGAGCUUGCUCUUACGGGUGGCGAGUGGCGGACGGGUGAGGAAUACAUCGGAAUCUACUUUUUCGUGGGGGAGAACGUAGGGAAACUUACGCUAAUACCGCAUACGACCUACGGGUGAAAGCAGGGGAUCUUCGGACCUUGCGCGAUUGAAUGAGCCGAUGUCGGAUUAGCUAGUUGGCGGGGUAAAGGCCCACCAAGGCCACGGUCGGUAGGUGGUCUGAGAGGAUGGUCAGCCGCACUGGAACUGAGACACGGUCCAGACUCCUUCGGGAGGCAGCAGGGGGUAAUAUUGGACAAUGGGCGCAAGCCAGAUCCAGCCAUACCGCGUGGGUGAAGAAGGCCUUCCGGUUGUAAAGCCCUUUUGUUGGGAAAGAAAAGCAGCAGGUUAAUACCCCGCUGUUCUGACGGUACCCAAAGAAUAAGCACCGGCUAACUUCGUG